GCCUCCCUCUUAGAGGUCCUCGGAGUCCAGAGUCCUCGAAGGGAAAACUGACACAAAGAAGCAGGUAAAUGAAGGAGAAAAGAAAAGAACAAAAUCCACCGGGAACCAGAGACUUCCAGGCUCCAAAGACAGGCAAUCUCCACCAGGAAACAAUUUGGCCAGGAAGUGACCGGCAAUGGAAAGAGGGAAAUAAUCAGCACAUCCGCAUGUGUGCCCAUCUCAGAGACACAAACUGUGAAUAACAACUCACUUGGCUUCAUAACCAAGACCUACUCUGAGGAAUUGCAUCUCUUCCUUGGAGACCUUGAUUGGCCUGCUAGGUUAAAGGCAUUUCACUAAAUUCUUGGAGGAGUCUGAGAGAACUUGGGGGCGCUUGAGGAACCCAAAGGUGUGAAGUAAAAGCUGGAAACCAAGAUUGCUGGGAAAGUUCAGAGAAAGUAGAGAUACUUCGUUUGAUGGAGAUCACAUGCAAGUACAGACAGGAUUUCCACAUGUCGCCAGGCUGAUCUCAGACCUGGAUCUUCCCACCUCAGCCUCUGAACGUGCUGGGAUUACAGGUAUGAGCCCCCACACAUGGCUACCUUGGGUUUCUUUU
rnacentral:lncRNA from 1 species